CAUAAUUUAUAUUUUUAGAGUUAAAAUUACUACAGAAUUUGAAAAGUGUUUGAAGUUCACCGAAGAGAACGUUUCAAUAAACCAAAAUAGCCUAAAUUUACAGGUACAUUAAAUUUAAUAAAUAAAUUAUGUUGUGUUGCAGUUUUCGGACACGUGGAGGGACCCUAUUGGGUGUUAGGAACCGACUACAAUACUUACACUGUUGUAUACAGCUGUCAAAACUUUUUAUUCUUCUGGCGAUACUAUACAAUCUGGUUUCUCGGUAGAUACCAGAUCUUCCCUACGGACGAAGAUCAAGCGGACUUUUUCAGAAAAGCAAACCAGGUCCUGGAGGUACAUAACUUUGACCCUUCCAUGAUGCAUCUUUCCAAUCAGAUGAACUGUAAUAUAUAGAUCUAAGAUUAUAAUUAUAACCUUUUUAAUCAAUUA